rnacentral:rRNA from 1 species
AUUGAACGCUGGCGGCGGGCUUAACACAUGCAAGUCGAGCGGAGAUGAGGUGCUUGCACCUUAUCUUAGCGGCGGACGGGUGAGUAAUGCUUAGGAAUCUGCCAUUUAGUGGGGGACAACAUUCCGAAAGGAAUGCUAAUACCGCAUACGUCCUACGGGAGAAAGCAGGGGAUCUUCGGACCUUGCGCUAAAUGAUGAGCCUAAGUCGGAUUAGCUAGUUGGUGGGGUAAAGGCCUACCAAGGCGACGAUCUGUAGCGGGUCUGAGAGGAUGAUCCGCCACACUGGGACUGAGACACGGCCCAGACUCCUACGGGAGGCAGCAGUGGGGAAUAUUGGACAAUGGGCGGAAGCCUGAUCCAGCCAUGCCGCGUGUGUGAAGAAGGCCUUUUGGUUGUAAAGCACUUUAAGCGAGGAGGAGGCUACCUGGAUUAAUACUCUGGGAUAGUGGACGUUACUCGCAGAAUAAGCACCGGCUAACUCUGUG